GUGCGCAGGUGGUUUGUUAAGUCAGAUGUGAAAGCCCCGAGCUUAUCUUGGGAACUGCUUUUGAAACUGGCAAGCUAGAGUCUGUCAGAUGGGGGUAGAAUUCCACGUGUAGCAGUGAAAUGCGUAGAGAUGUGGAGGAAUACCAAUGGCGAAGGCAGCCCCCUGGGAUAAGACUGACGCUCAUGCACGAAAGCGUGGGGAGCAAACAGGAUUAGAUACCCUGGUAGACCACGCCCUAAACGAUGUCAACUGGUUGUUGGGCAACUUGAUUGUUCAGUAACGAAGCUAACGCGAGAAGUUGACCGCCUGGUGAGUACGGUCACAAGAUUAAAACUCAAAGGAAUUGACGGGGACCCGCACAAGCGGUGGAUGAUGUGGAUUAAUUCGAUGCAACGCGAAAAACCUUACCUACCCUUGACUUGUACGGAAGUCUGCUGAGAGGUGGAUAUGCCUGAAAGGGAAACAUAACACAGGUGCUGCAUGGCUGUCGUCAGCUCGUGUCGUGAGAUGUUGGGUUAAGUCCCGCAACGAGCGCAACCCUUGCUAUUAAUUACCAUCAUUAAGAUGGGCACUUUAAUAGGACUGCUGGUGAUAAACCGGAGGAAGGUGGGGAUGACGUCAAGUCCUCAUGGCCCUUAUGGGUAGGGCUUCACACGUCAUUCAAAGGCCGGUACAGAGGGAUGCCCACCCGCGAGGGGGAGCCAAUCUCAGAAAGCCGGUCGUAGUCCGGAUAGAUCUCUGCAACUCGAGAGCAUGAAGUCGG
rnacentral:rRNA from 1 species